rnacentral:misc_RNA from 1 species
UAGGGGAACCUGCGGUUGGAUCACCUCCUUACCUUAAAGAACCUGCCUUUGUAGUGCUCACACAGAUUGUCUGAUGAAAAGUAAAUAGCAAGGCGUCUUGCGAUUGAGACUUCAGUGUCCCCUUCGUCUAGAGGCCCAGGACACCGCCCUUUCACGGCGGUAACAGGGGUUCGAAUCCCCUAGGGGACGCCACUUGCUGGUUCGUGAGUGAAAGUCACCUGCCGACAUAUCUCAAAACUCAUCUUCGGGUGGCGUUUGAGAUAUUUGCUCUUUAAAAAUCUGGAUCAAGCUGAAAAUUGAAACGACACACAGUUAAUGUGUGUUCGAGUCUCUCAAAUUUUCACAAACCGGUGAUGAAUCGAAAGAAACAUCUUCGGGUUGUGAGGUUAAGCGACUAAGCGUACACGGUGGAUGCCCUGGCAGUCAGAGGCGAUGAAGGACGUGCUAAUCUGCGAAAAGCGCCGGCGAGGUGAUAUGAACCUUUGACCCGGCGAUGUCCGAAUGGGGAAACCCAGUGUGUUCCGACACACUAUCGUUAACUGAAUACAUAGGUUAACGAGGCGAACCGGGGGAACUGAAACAUCUAAGUACCCCGAGGAAAAGAAAUCAA